UACGGGGGGGGGAAGCGUUGUUCGGAAUUACUGGGCGUAAAGGGCUCGUAGGCGGCCAACUAAGUCAGACGUGAAAUCCCUCAGCUUAACUGGGGAACUGCGUCUGAUACUGGAUGGCUUGGAUUUGGGAGAGGGAUGCGGAAUUCCAGGUGUAGCGGUGAAAUGCGUAGAUAUCUGGAGGAACACCGGUGGCGAAGGCGGCAUCCUGGACCGGCAUUGACGCUGAGGCGCGAAAGCCAGGGGAGCAAACGGG
rnacentral:rRNA from 1 species